rnacentral:tRNA from 1 species
AAGGGAGACCUAAUUCAGGUAGGAGACGAAAAAAAAGUAGUCGCUACCAAGAAUCAAUCCCAAAAGGUCGGAGCGAGGCGAAAUUGGCUUUCAAACUAGGUUCUGGGUUCAAACAAGACCUGAAUCAGGAACAAGGGCUAUUAGCUCAGGUGGUUAGAGCGCACCCCUGAUAAGGGUGAGGUCCCUGGUUCGAGUCCAGGAUGGCCCACCUGCACAGGUGGCAAAAACAAAGAAGCGAGGAAUCAGCACCUUAUCUUAUCUAUAUAUAAGAGAGAAUGCUGGCUCUGAGUAAAGAGUCCAGAGGAACCUUGAAAACUGCAUAGAGCUAGGUGAAAAAGCCAAAAAAGAAGACCGCAA